rnacentral:lncRNA from 1 species
AGAAAUGCAGAAGCAGAUGGUACUGCUGAACCAAAUGUGUGAAAGGCUAGUAACUCAUAGAUGCAUAUAAUUUUUAGAGUUGGAAGAGACCAAGGAGUUAAAUUCAUCUAACUCCCAUUCUAUAAGUAUUUCAGAUGACUGCAGUUGUGUCCUCAUCAUCAAUCUCUAAAUGAAGUUACUUGAAGCAAUUCUUGAAACCAUAAUAAUAAUGUCUCCAGAAUUGGUGGAUUCUUGGUCUCACUGACUUCAAGAAUGAAGCCACGGACCCUCGCGAAGGACUUUGGACAACAAUUUCUUUGACUGAAACUGGGGUCAGAGUUGCAGACUCCCUGGAACAUGAAAAGUCAAUAAUCUAGUUCCCAAAAGGCAGACAAGAAACUAUUCCCAAGAUGAACAAAUGAUGAGAAUAGAGGUAAAGGUGAAAAUGAUGCUUUGAUGCCUGAAGGUACAACAAACAUCUCAUGACUAUGAGGGGAUGAAAAUGGAUACCAAGGAUACCAAGAUGAUGGAACAAAAAGAAUUGAUUUGGAACAUGACGGCACUAUGGAUUCAUCGUAUUGGACCUCUGUGAUAUAAUUCUGAACUUUUCAUAUAAGACUAAUAUACCCCUACUUGUUUAAUACAACUGUAGAGUUAUCUGCUACUUGCAGCCAAAUGUAAUCCUAACUAAUAUAGGCAAUAAAUCAUGUUUUUAUAUCACUAUGUAGGUCUUCCAAUCUAUUGUCUUUGCCAGAGCUGUCUCCAUUCUUCUAAAAGGUCCCAACUUCCAAAAUUCAAAACCAAGAAAACAACCUCUUUUCUCUGACAUUUUUAUUGGGUCAGACAUUUUGCUGUGUCAGAAAAUGAUUCCAUAUAAUUUGUCCAAAUGGGGAAGGGCUAUGCGAGAUACAAGGAAUUAUAGGGAGAAAAUUAUUGACACAUAUUUAAAAAUAUAUCUCAGCAUAGUUACAAAUACACAGAAACCCAUCCAAAUUAGACUAAGACAGUAAAUUUAUUGGGUGGAUGUAAGUAUA